CUGGGAUGUGGCUUGGGAAUCGGGAUUUUUAAACGCUCCCCUAGUGGCGGGCCCCGUGGCUGAGUGGUUAAGUUCUCUCGCUCCGCUUCGGAGCGCCGGUUCAGAUCCUGGGCGCAGACAUGGCACCACUCAUCAGGCCAUCCUGUGGAGUCAUCCCACAUGCCACAACUAGAAGGACCCACAACUAAAAUAUACAACAGCCAUAAUGCCCAGCUUCUAUUCAGGAUGAGCUUUCCCAGUGCCUUACCUCUAUAGACAGAACCUUCUUCACUAACGCAAAACACAUAAAUUAGGGAGGAGGGGGCCAAGGCUGCACAGGAAGGGGAGUGAGAGCCUCUGAGUGGAGGAAGACCAUUUCGUCCUUUGUCCUGGGAAACAAAGGAGGUUUCCAACAGCAGAGGGAAAUUGCAAUUGAAGAAAGAUCUUACAUCAUACCAAGAGCGGAGGUUCCAGAGACGUGAUUUUCAAUUUAUCAAGAUGGGCAAUGGAUACUUUCAGUGUUCCUUGAGUAACAGAAAUGGCUUUUUUAUUGGAAUGAAACAGCAGCUGGACGUUCAGUAGGGGCAGAAGUCUUUUGGGUGGAAUUGCAGAGAAGUGCCAUGCUCCUGUCCCUUGGAGGAAGGAAAGAAGACAUAAUACUAAGUCAAGUGAAGAUGUUAUACUAAGUCUGGAGUUUUGAUAUCUUGAGCUGGACAUUCUUAUUAUUGCAUUAGUCACUGCAUUAGCGUAAAGUAACCAGAUUUCACCUAUUACCCGAGAAUCAGCAGUGAUGCCUUGCAACAGACAGAGUGUUUGUCCUGAGGCAAAGGAGGGUUAUAUCCACUAAAUGUAAUUAAAGGGGACCUGGGAGACAAAAAUAAAGUUAUAUAAUGUUUGUAAAACAACGUGGUUAUAGAAAUUAGGCUAUUGGUACCCUAAUGAGAACACACACAGUACAUAAUAAAGAAAAUGCCAGGCCUAUCUGAGAAAGUAACUCCUAACUGUGUCAGUAAGUAUCAUAUAU
rnacentral:lncRNA from 1 species